rnacentral:rRNA from 1 species
UCUGGGAAACUGCCUGAUGGAGGGGGAUAACUACUGGAAACGGUAGCUAAUACCGCAUAACGUCGCAAGACCAAAGAGGGGGACCUUCGGGCCUCUUGCCAUCAGAUGUGCCCAGAUGGGAUUAGCUAGUAGGUGGGGUAAUGGCUCACCUAGGCGACGAUCCCUAGCUGGUCUGAGAGGAUGACCAGCCACACUGGAACUGAGACACGGUCCAGACUCCUACGGGAGGCAGCAGUGGGGAAUAUUGCACAAUGGGCGCAAGCCUGAUGCAGCCAUGCCGCGUGUGUGAAGAAGGCCUUCGGGUUGUAAAGCACUUUCAGCGAGGAGGAAGGUGGUGAACUUAAUACGUUCAUCAAUUGACGUUACUCGCAGAAGAAGCACCGGCUAACUCCGUGCCAGCAGCCGCGGUAAUACGGAGGGUGCAAGCGUUAAUCGGAAUUACUGGGCGUAAAGCGCACGCAGGCGGUUUGUUAAGUCAGAUGUGAAAUCCC